UACGAACUGCUUUUUUCGGUGGCAGUGCCGCUAGCUCAGUCGUCUUCAGGGCAGAGUACCCCUAAUGCCACAGCUCGCAACAUAAGUAUCGAUAACUUCGCGGUCUCACCUUACUAAUCUAUCGGCCAUCACUAAGGGCAAAAACGUAAACAAAGCAAAAAUUACAAUUAUUGUCGGGAAAACGGAUUACAUUUGGUGGCUAUCGAUGUCCUAGCCAAGCGCUCCCGCCCAUCCAUGGAUGCCCUCAAGGGGCUGCAGGGCACCACCCAUUCGCAGUCGGCAGGAGCCCCCUCCUCGCGACUGCGGCUACGGUUCCAUCUCCCCCACUGGGAAAGCUUAUUCACACAUAAUUUAUCCUUCCUCAGCCUCUAAGACCGAAACCUGGCCGCCGUCUCGGAUAUUUACGCGGUCAAAGCAGAGUAUUUGUUUUGCUGGGAAAGGGUACAGGCGCCGCGGGAAUUAUGCUCUACCAGCCAUGUAUUGGUAGAGCUCGCAUGGAAACGCGGGCCUCAAGGGAACAUGCGCGAUGCGCGUGUGUAUGGUCACCUAAUCCUGAGGAGCUCCAAAAGAAAAGAAGGGACAGGCCAAAAAGGCAAACAACGAGGACAAAUAAGGCUCUCGGGUCUAACUCCGGAUAAACUCACAAACAGCCACUGUCGGGCUGGUAGGUAUGUCGAAGUAUGGCGAUGUCAGUAGAGUCCAAAUAAAUUCUUCCGGGGCCCUUUGUAUUGGGACCCCGGCUGCCUUUAUAAAUGAUAAAUAUUAAAUAUCGAACUACUAUAGAA